CAGGCCUAACACAUGCAAGUCGAACGAUAUACUUCCCGCUUGCGGGAGGGAGUAAAGUGGCGAACGGGUGAGUAACGCGUGGGUAACCUGCCCUUGAAUCUGGGAUAACUUCGCGAAAGCGUUGCUAAUACCGGAUAAUGCCUCGAGGGUUUUGGCCUUUGAGGUGAAAGGUGACCUAUCCAUGGAAGUUGCCGUUCAGGGAGGGGCCCGCGUCCCAUUAGCUUGUUGGUGGGGUAAAGGCUUACCAAGGCCAUGAUGGGUAGCUGGUCUGAGAGGAUGAUCAGCCACACUGGCACUGAAACACGGGCCAGACUCCUACGGGAGGCAGCAGUGAGGAAUUUUGCGCAAUGGGGGAAACCCUGACGCAGCAACGCCGCGUGAGUGAAGAAGGCCUUCGGGUCGUAAAGCUCUGUCAAAAGGGAAAAAAGUUUUGCGGUGAAUAGCCGCAAAAUCUGAUGGUACCUUUAGAGGAAGCACCGGCUAACUCCGUGCCAGCAGCCGCGGUAA
rnacentral:rRNA from 1 species